rnacentral:rRNA from 1 species
ACGGGAGGCAGCAGUGGGGAAUCUUCCGCAAUGGGCGCAAGCCUGACGGAGCAACGCCGCGUGAGUGAAGAAGGUCUUCGGAUCGUAAAGCUCUGUUGAGAGGGACGAGAGAUAAUGUCAGGAAAUGGGCAUUAGAGGACGGUACCUUUCGAGGAAGCCACGGCUAACUACGUGCCAGCAGCCGCGGUAAUACGUAGGUGGCGAGCGUUAUCCGGAUUUACUGGGUGUAAAGGGCGCGUAGGCGGGGAUGCAAGUCAGAUGUGAAAUCCAUGGGCUUAACUCAUGAACUGCAUUUGAAACUGUAUCUCUUGAGUGUCGGAGAGGUAGAUGGAAUUCCUAGUGUAGCGGUGAAAUGCGUAGAUAUUAGGAGGAACACCAGUGGCGAAGGCGAUCUACUGGACGAUAACUGACGCUGAGGCGCGAAAGCGUGGGGAGCAAACAGGAUUAGAUACCCUGGUA